CAGUAGCCGCGGUAAUACAGAGGGUGCAAGCGUUAAUCGGAAUUACUGGGCGUAAAGCGUGCGCAGGCGGUUAUAUAAGACAGAUGUGAAAUCCCCGGGCUCAACCUGGGAACUGCAUUUGUGACUGUAUAGCUAGAGUACGGCAGAGGGGGAUGGAAUUCCGCGUGUAGCAGUGAAAUGCGUAGAUAUGCGGAGGAACACCGAUGGCGAAGGCAAUCCCCUGGGCCUGUACUGACGCUCAUGCACGAAAGCGUGGGGAGCAAACAGGAUUAGAUACCCCUGUAGUCCCUGUCUCUUAUAC
rnacentral:rRNA from 1 species